AUUGAACGUUGGCGGCAGGCCUAACACAUGCAAGUCGAACGGUAACAGGAAGAAGCUUGCUUCUUUGCUGACGAGUGGCGGACGGGUGAGUAAUGUCUGGGAAACUGCCUGAUGGAGAGGGAUAACUACUGGAAACGGUAGCUAAUACCGCAUAACGUCGCAAGACCAAAGAGGGGGACCUUCGGGCCUCUUGCCAUCGGAUGUGCCCAGAUGGGAUUAGCUAGUAGGUGGGGUAACGGCUCACCUAGGCGACGAUCCCUAGCUGGUCUGAGAGGAUGACCAGCCACACUGGAACUGAGACACGGUCCAGACUCCUACGGGAGGCAGCAGUGGGGAAUAUUGCACAAUGGGCGCAAGCCUGAUGCAGCCAUGCCGCGUGUAUGAAGAAGGCCUUCGGGUUGUAAAGUACUUUCAGCGGGGAGGAAGGGAGUAAAGUUAAUACCUUUGCUCAUUGACGUUACCCGCAGAAGAAGCACCGGCUAACUCCGUG
rnacentral:rRNA from 1 species